CAUUUUCUAUUAAUGAAAGAAUUUUUGGUUAGUCGGAGAAUAGAUUUGGCACGAUUUCGGGCAGAAAUGUAAAGUUCAUAAUUAGCAUUAGUUUGAAGGCUCUGGUAUCUUUUGUGAGCUACCUCUCUAUCAUUGACAGCACGAGAACAAGCGUGAUUAAACCAAGGCUUGUUAGCGUGAGGAGUAGAGAAAGAACGAGGAAUGUAUGCCUCCAUUCCAGAGACAAUCACCUCUGUGAUGCGCUGAGCACACACAGAGGGGUCUCUAUCCUGGAAGCAAUAAUCAUUCCACGGGAAAUCGGAAAAGUACAUCCUUAGGUCGUCCCACCGAGCUGAAGCAAAAUACCAGAAGCAUCGCCUCUUCGGUGGGUCCAGAGGGUGUACAGGAGCGAUAGGACAGGAUGCAGAAAUAAGAUUGUGAUCGGAGGAACCCAACGGAGAGAACAGUUUGACAGAAUAAGCAGAAGGGUUUGAGGUAAGGAAGAGGUCUAGAAUGUUGGGCCGAUCUCCAAGACGGUCGGGAAUACGUGUAGGGUGCUGGACCAACUGCUCUAGGUCGUUGAGGAUAGCAAAGUUGUAGGCUUGUUCACCAGGAUGGUCAGUGAAAGAAGAUGAAAGCCAAAGCUGGUGGUGAACAUUGAAAUCUCCUAGGAUGGAGAUUUCAGCGAAGGGAGAGUGGGUCAAGAUGUGCUCCACUUUAGAAUUCAAAUAGUCAAAGAAUUUUACAUAGUUGGUAGAGUUAGGUGAGAGAUAAACAGCACAGAUGUAUUUAGUAAUAGAAUGACAAUGAAGUCUUAGCCAGAUGGUGGAAAAUUCAGAAGAGUCAAGGUCGUGGGCACAAGAGCAAGGGAUGUCGUUGUGCACGUAGGCGCAACAUCCAGCUUUGGAUUGAAAUUUAGGAUAGAGAUAGUAGGAGGGAACAGAGUAGAGAUUGCUGUCAGUAGCCUCAGAAACCUGUGUUUCGGUAAGGAAGAGAAGGUGAGGUUUAGAGGAGGAGAGAUGAUGUUCCACAGAAUGAAAAUUAGAGCGAAGACCGCGAAUGUUGCAGAAAUUGAGAAGAAUGAGGUUCGAGGAGUUAUCAAGACACCUCUCGGGUCGGCAGCCAGAAGGGGAGUCCUCCCUGGGGGAAUUUGUGGUCCCCCCCCCAGGCGGGGACUCCGAGGCUUGGUGUAUGUGCGCCAUUUUGAAAUUUUAAUUUUGGGAAAAGGUGUAUAUGUUGUGUGAAUGUAGUGUGGUGUGGAUAAAGAGAGGAUGCAUGAAAGUUUGGAGCCUUCUUUGACCCUGAACUCAAUUUUGGAUGGGAAAAGAAUAUCGUCACCUUCGUAAACAAACCGCUUAAGUCAUUAUAUUUUUUACUUCUCAGGAAAUCAGAAAAGAGCUGUCAUCAUCUCAUUUGGCUUAAGAUUUAGGUAGAAAUGAAAAGGCCAAUUCUAGAACACAAACCCAUAAAUGACGAAGGGAACUAAACAAAUGGGUGUCCGUCACAUUUUGAAAAAUUGAUGAAGAUAAAAACCCGAAAAUCACUGAAAAAUGACUUUGACAAUUACCUUGAGGGUGACGAUAUGGUUGUUAGACUAUAGUAUUUCCCAAGGGAAGAUCUUGCAGGAUAAAGAACUGGGGACUUCCUUGUGGCCAUGGAAGGGGAGGAAGGGGAGAGACAUGUACCAAGGUAAGGAAAUGAUGCAACAUAAAGAACUGGACACUUCCUUGUGGCCAUGGGAGGGGAGGAAGGGGAGAGACAUGUACCAAGGUAAGGAAAUGAUGCAACAUAAAAAACUGGACACUUCCUUGUGGCCAUGGGAGGGGAGGAAGGGGAAAGACAUGUACCAAGGUAUUCGUUAUAUGCGAGGGUUAGGUUCUGCAAAAAGCUCUCAUAAUGUGAAUUUGCAUAUAUCGAACCUAUCAUCCCAUUAAUUAUAGGGGGUUAUGUUCCACUGUAAUGCAGGGAAACCCAGAACAAUCGAUCCUCUUAAAUAAUUAAAGUAUUAACUGUGAAUUAGGUGAGGUGCGGCAGGGCAGACAUUCAGACAGACAGACGAACCAGUGAUGGGUCAGCAUCAUGUGGGUCUGACCAUGGCCUCAUAGACUCAUAGUGAAGGUGCCGAGGACGGUUAGUUAGGCUUUUCUUUCACGAGGAUCGACGAGGAGGAAUUUUUCACUUAAGUCACGUGGGAGAGAGAAGUUUAAUGACGAGAUUUUCUAUUGUCUUUUUCUAUUACUUUCUUGGUCCCACACGAGAAAUUAAUUACAACAAGAAGGUAAAUCAGCUGCCUGGGAUUGAACCCGCGACCAGCGUGACGGGAGAGCCACUCCUUACCGAGUCGGCCCAAGAGGUACCCCACUCGCUGAAUGGGUUAUGGGAGGCUCGCUCAUCAGGCCGCUGCCGCACUACACCACGACCCAUUUGUCGAACCCUCUAACUAUUUAUUCCAGCACCAUUUCACAAUAGUAAAGCACUAAAACAACAAUAAAGCACAUUAGUACAGAUAAACAUAAUAUGAAAAUACCUUUUAAACAAACAAAAACUUUAGGAUCAGAGGGAGGAAAAGGUUAGUUAGAGUCGAGGAAAGUGCGGGAAACAUUAGCACCCGCCGCCCUCUAGUGCGAGUCGGCCACCAUACCUCACCAACAAGUCACACCGGCGCUGCUACUCGCAUAAUAGCAAAUUUUUCUCACAUAAAACGAAUACUUGGCACAUUUAGGUUAGUCACAUAUGAGCGAAUUCGCAUAUUUCAAACUCGCAUAUAUCGAAUACCCGGUGUAUGUACCAAGGUAAGGAAAUAAUGCAACAUGAACUGGAGACUUCCUCUGAGCCUUUGGGAGCUAGGGGAAGAAGGGGAAAGACAUAAGGAAUCAAAAUCUUACAACAUGAAGAUUAUCCAACCAUGAUUAUCCAAAACAAUUUUCUAGAUGGCAACCCACAGAAAAUGGCUGGCUGUCUUUAUGGUAAACCAAUUAAAAUAUGACAGGUUUGUAUGUCAUUGGAUUACGCAGUGUGGGAGGCAGUUGGAUGGGAGAGGCUAAGGCGAGCCUAAGACGAAGUGUUAGCUUUAUAAGUAUGGCCUAGGAGAGUAGAAGGGGAGAUAAGUGCACCUCUAAGUCAGAAUGGUGGUGGUAUAUAAGCCUUCUCAUUGGGUUUUCUAUGCUGCAUCUUUCUAUACUUUCUUUUUUUCUUCUUUUUUUUACGUCGUGGCCUAUUGUGCUGGUAGGCUUCUUCCCGGUGGAUCCUGAUGGUCAGCCCAAGGCUUCUUCCCGGUGGGGCCUGAUGGUCGGCCCAGCCCGUUCUGGCACAGGCGAGUGUUUAUAGUGGCGCCAUCUUGCACUGGCUCAUGCUGCCCUCCUGGAGCUCAUCUUUAAUCCUAGAAUCUAGAGUCUGGGUUGAUAGGUGGUCUUCUGGACAGCAUGUGGGUAGUUUUAAGCCACUCGGCGGCGGCUGAAAAAUCCCAGCUUGGUGGCACCAGGCGGGGAUUGAACUCGCGUCGUCCUGAACGCAGCGCCGUCACGCUAUCCAUUCAGCCACCGCCUCCCCAUAAAUGCAUUUAUCGUCACUCUCAUUAGAUGUAUCAUAUACUGAAGCCGUGGACAGUGGGGGUCACUCGAUCCCUUACUACGAUACGAAACUAAAAAACAAUAAUUAUACUUUAGUUGCCCUCAAUAUUCUGAAGACAAACCACAGAACACAGCGGAGAGUAUUUUCUGGUAAACUGACCUAUUUCUAUGUAUUGGUCCUGUAUAAAUAAUAAUUUUAUUUCCAGCGUACCAUAUACGACCUAAAUUCUGAAAGCUCUUGUACAAUAUCCAGGAA